CCUACGGGUGGCUGCAGUGAGGAAUAUUGGUCAAUGGGCGCGAGCCUGAACCAGCCACGUAGCGUGAAGGAUGACUGCCCUACGGGUUGUAAACUUCUUUUAUAAAGGAAUAAAGUGCGGCACGUGUGCCUUUUUGUAUGUACUUUAUGAAUAAGGAUCGGCUAACUCCGUGCCAGCAGCCGCGGUAAUACGGAGGAUCCGAGCGUUAUCCGGAUUUAUUGGGUUUAAAGGGAGCGUAGAGGGGUUGUUAAGUCAGUUGGGAAAGUUUGCGGGUCAACCGGAAACUUGCAUUUGAUACUGGCAGUCUUGAGUGCAGGUGAGGAAGGCGGAAUUCGUGGUGUAGCGGUGAAAUGCUUAGAUAUCACGAAGAACUCCGAUUGCGAAGGCAGCUUACUAAACUGCCACUGACAUUGAUGCUCGAAAGUGUGGGUAGCAAACAGGAUUAGAUACCCGGGUAGUC
rnacentral:rRNA from 1 species